rnacentral:rRNA from 1 species
AGCGAACGCUGGCGGCAGGCCUAACACAUGCAAGUCGAACGAAGUCUUCGGACUUAGUGGCGGACGGGUGAGUAACACGUGGGAACGUACCUUUUGGUUCGGAACAACUCCGGGAAACUUGAGCUAAUACCGGAUGAGCCCUUAGGGGGAAAGAUUUAUCGCCGAAAGAGCGGCCCGCGUUAGAUUAGCUAGUUGGUGAGGUAAAGGCUCACCAAGGCUACGAUCUAUAGCUGGUCUGAGAGGAUGAUCAGCCACACUGGGACUGAGACACGGCCCAGACUCCUACGGGAGGCAGCAGUGGGGAAUCUUGCGCAAUGGGCGAAAGCCUGACGCAGCCAUGCCGCGUGAAUGAUGAAGGUCUUAGGAUUGUAAAAUUCUUUUACCAGGGACGAUAAUGACGGUACCUGGAGACAAAGCCCCGGCUAACUUCGUGCCAGCCGCCGCAGUAAGAC